rnacentral:rRNA from 1 species
GGAUUAGAUACCCUGGUAGUCCACGCCGUAAACGUUGGGCGCUAGGUGUGGGGCCCUUUCCACGGGUUCCGCGCCGCCGCUAACGCAUUAAGCGCCCCGCCUGGGGAGUACGGCCGCAAGGCUAAAACUCAAAGGAAUUGACGGGGGCCCGCACAAGCGGCGGAGCAUGCGGAUUAAUUCGAUGCAACGCGAAGAACCUUACCAAGGCUUGACAUAUACCGAAAACUGUUGGAGACAGCAGGUCCGCAAGGGCGGUAUACAGGUGGUGCAUGGUUGUCGUCAGCUCGUGCCG